GACAGAGGGGGCAAGCGUUGCUCGGAAUUACUGGGCGUAAAGGGCGCGUAGGCGGGAUGGCAAGUCGGUCGUGAAAUCCCUCGGCUCAACCGAGGAACGUCGAUCGAUACUGCUGUUCUUGAGGAUUGCAGAGGAGACUGGAAUUCCCGGUGUAGCGGUGAAAUGUGUAGAGAUCGGGAGGAACACCGGUGGCGAAGGCGGGUCUCUGGGUUAACACUGACGCUCAGGCACGAAAGCGUGGGGAGCAAACAGG
rnacentral:rRNA from 1 species